UCUCCCCUUGUUGCCGCCCAUUCUCCCUUGGGCAUGAGCUCUCUUUGGGUAUCCCACCUACUGAUGUGAGGUGUCACACCAGCAUAUCUCCUUCCUUAUUUGUUUGGGUUGUGAAGUCGAUUGGAUCGGAGUUCAUCCCACUUUCCUGCGGUGUCUGACGUGCAUGCAAAGUAGAGGGUCUGCACAUCUCCACCUCUGUGCAGGUUUAUAUUAGAUUAUUUGAGAUUCGAUCUCUAGUU
rnacentral:lncRNA from 1 species